rnacentral:rRNA from 1 species
UAUUAUAUUUAGUAAAAAUUUUUAGUAUAUUAAGGUAAUAACAGUUAUAGUCUUGAAACCUAAAGAAUUUGGCGGUGUUUUAGUCUUUUCAGAGGAAUCUGUCCUAUAAUUGAAAUUACACGAGAAUAAUUACUUAAUUUAUGAAGUUUGUAUACCGCCGUCAUAAGAAUAUUUUGAGGAGGAAGUUUUUCUUGAAAAUAAAUUAAUUUAUAUGUCAGGUCAAGGUGCAGUUGAUAAUUAAGAAGAGAUGGAUUACAAUAAUUUUUAAUUAAAUGAAUUAAUUAAUAAAAUGAUUAUGAAGGUGGAUUUGAUAGUAAAUUUACUUUUUCUAGUAAAUUGAUUUUGGCUCUAAGACAUGCACACAUCGCCCGUCACUCUCAUUAAAUUGAG